rnacentral:lncRNA from 1 species
GGUAGGCAUUGAGGCAGCCAGCGCAGGGGCUUCUGCUGAGGGGGCAGGCGGAGCUUGAGGAAACCGCAGAUAAGUUUUUUUCUCUUUGAAAGAUAGAGAUUAAUACAACUACUUAAAAAAUAUAGUCAAUAGGUUACUAAGAUAUUGCUUAGCGUUAAGUUUUUAACGUAAUUUUAAUAGCUUAAGAUUUUAAGAGAAAAUAUGAAGACUUAGAAGAGUAGCAUGAGGAAGGAAAAGAUAAAAGGUUUCUAAAACAUGACGGAGGUUGAGAUGAAGCUUCUUCAUGGAGUAAAAAAUGUAUUUAAAAGAAAAUUGAGAGAAAGGACUACAGAGCCCCGAAUUAAUACCAAUAGAAGGGCAAUGCUUUUAGAUUAAAAUGAAGGUGACUUAAACAGCUUAAAGUUUAGUUUAAAAGUUGUAGGUUUCUCUUUUUCAGGCUUAUACUCAUGAAUCUUGUCUGAAGCUUUUGAGGGCAGACUGCCAAGUCCUGGAGAAAUAGUAGAUGGCAAGUUUGUGGGUUUUUUUUUUUUACACGAAUUUGAGGAAAACCAAAUGAAUUUGAUAGCCAAAUUGAGACAAUUUCAGCAAAUCUGUAAGCAGUUUGUAUGUUUAGUUGGGGUAAUGAAGUAUUUCAGUUUUGUGAAUAGAUGACCUGUUUUUACUUCCUCACCCUGAAUUCGUUUUGUAAAUGUAGAGUUUGGAUGUGUAACUGAGGCGGGGGGGAGUUUUCAGUAUUUUUUUUUGUGGGGGUGGGGGCAAAAUAUGUUUUCAGUUCUUUUUCCCUUAGGUCUGUCUAGAAUCCUAAAGGCAAAUGACUCAAGGUGUAACAGAAAACAAGAAAAUCCAAUAUCAGGAUAAUCAGACCACCACAGGUUUACAGUUUAUAGAAACUAGAGCAGUUCUCACGUUGAGGUCUGUGGAAGAGAUGUCCAUUGGAGAAAUGGCUGGUAGUUACUCUUUUUUCCCCCCACCCCCUUAAUCAGACUUUAAAAGUGCUUAACCCCUUAAACUUGUUAUUUUUUACUUGAAGCAUUUUGGGAUGGUCUUAACAGGGAAGAGAGAGGGUGGGGGAGAAAAUGUUUUUUUCUAAGAUUUUCCACAGAUGCUAUAGUACUAUUGACAAACUGGGUUAGAGAAGGAGUGUACCGCUGUGCUGUUGGCACGAACACCUUCAGGGACUGGAGCUGCUUUUAUCCUUGGAAGAGUAUUCCCAGUUGAAGCUGAAAAGUACAGCACAGUGCAGCUUUGGUUCAUAUUCAGUCAUCUCAGGAGAACUUCAGAAGAGCUUGAGUAGGCCAAAUGUUGAAGUUAAGUUUUCCAAUAAUGUGACUUCUUAAAAGUUUUAUUAAAGGGGAGGGGCAAAUAUUGGCAAUUAGUUGGCAGUGGCCUGUUACGGUUGGGAUUGGUGGGGUGGGUUUAGGUAAUUGUUUAGUUUAUGAUUGCAGAUAAACUCAUGCCAGAGAACUUAAAGUCUUAGAAUGGAAAAAGUAAAGAAAUAUCAACUUCCAAGUUGGCAAGUAACUCCCAAUGAUUUAGUUUUUUUCCCCCCAGUUUGAAUUGGGAAGCUGGGGGAAGUUAAAUAUGAGCCACUGGGUGUACCAGUGCAUUAAUUUGGGCAAGGAAAGUGUCAUAAUUUGAUACUGUAUCUGUUUUCCUUCAAAGUAUAGAGCUUUUGGGGAAGGAAAGUAUUGAACUGGGGGUUGGUCUGGCCUACUGGGCUGACAUUAACUACAAUUAUGGGAAAUGCAAAAGUUGUUUGGAUAUGGUAGUGUGUGGUUCUCUUUUGGAAUUUUUUUCAGGUGAUUUAAUAAUAAUUUAAAACUACUAUAGAAACUGCAGAGCAAAGGAAGUGGCUUAAUGAUCCUGAAGGGAUUUCUUCUGAUGGUAGCUUUUGUAUUAUCAAGUAAGAUUCUAUUUUCAGUUGUGUGUAAGCAAGUUUUUUUUUAGUGUAGGAGAAAUACUUUUCCAUUGUUUAACUGCAAAACAAGAUGUUAAGGUAUGCUUCAAAAAUUUUGUAAAUUGUUUAUUUUAAACUUAUCUGUUUGUAAAUUGUAACUGAUUAAGAAUUGUGAUAGUUCAGCUUGAAUGUCUCUUAGAGGGUGGGCUUUUGUUGAUGAGGGAGGGGAAACUUUUUUUUUUUCUAUAGACUUUUUUCAGAUAACAUCUUCUGAGUCAUAACCAGCCUGGCAGUAUGAUGGCCUAGAUGCAGAGAAAACAGCUCCUUGGUGAAUUGAUAAGUAAAGGCAGAAAAGAUUAUAUGUCAUACCUCCAUUGGGGAAUAAGCAUAACCCUGAGAUUCUUACUACUGAUGAGAACAUUAUCUGCAUAUGCCAAAAAAUUUUAAGCAAAUGAAAGCUACCAAUUUAAAGUUACGGAAUCUACCAUUUUAAAGUUAAUUGCUUGUCAAGCUAUAACCACAAAAAUAAUGAAUUGAUGAGAAAUACAAUGAAGAGGCAAUGUCCAUCUCAAAAUACUGCUUUUACAAAAGCAGAAUAAAAGCGAAAA